CCAACCUUAGCUCAGUUGGUAGAGCGGAGGACUGUAGAUCCUUAGGUCACUGGUUCGAAUUUGGUAGGUCGGA
rnacentral:tRNA from 1 species